AAGGAAAACAUUGCAACACCAACUAACCCUACGCCUAUAUACCACUAUGUAAUUCAAAUUAAUAUCACCACCCCAUUCGACUACUUUGACCCUAACUGAUUCUACACCAGGCCGACAGCCUGGGAGGGCAGGACCCUUUCGUUCAACACACCUUGUAGCUCUUCUGCAGUAAAACCUCGUAUAUGUACUUUUCUGCAGCUGAGCUAGCUUCACUGAUUAAACAGUACCCGACUUCUUUUCUACCCUGGCCCGAGACUGCAUAUGGAUCAGCCAAAAGGCAGGGAUCUACUUUCUCCCAAAAUCUCACUCCCACUCACCCCUUUGCAUGACCAUCAGGCUCGGAUUUGGAGGUCGUCACAACACUUGCCACCACAGGUCUGAUUGUGGGUUAUGUUGGAGAUGGACACUUCCACUGUAUAAUGGUUAUGUACCCCUAAUGACCAGGAUGAGUUCACUAGAGUUCACUGAGAGACUGGCUAGAAAAGCAGUGGCACUGGAUGGGACAUGGACAUGGAAGCAUGGGGUGGGACUGGGAAACGAGUGUUGCUUCGUGAGGAGAUGGGACCCCUUGCCAUGGAGGUCAUGCAGGGCCUCAAGGCCACUUUGGACCCCAAUAACCUAAUGAAUCCUGGGAAGGUACUGAAGCUAUCACCUUAUCACAGAGCACUGAAUAAAUGAAUGAAGUGUACAGUACUACUUAGGGAUGCAAUACCUCUGUCUGCCACCUGGUGUCAGGCGUUUGGUAUACUUGUUUUUGUAGCGUGAGUGACUGACUAGUCCCAAGGGCAAAUUGUGUAUUAUUGUCUGUCCUCUGUUUAUCCUCUUAAGUUCCUCAGAAUUAAAUGCUUCUUUAGAUUUUACUACAAUAUAACUGUAUGGCUUGAAAUUAUUUAUUGACUACAUGUAAUGAACUAAAUCCAUCGGUUUAAUUUGGUUUCUGCUCUAUUUUGUGCCGUUGAUAUGUGCAUACUGUAACUGUAAAUGGCCCCUUCUGAUAGAGACUUAAGUAUUUAUUUAUAUUGCAAUGGUGAAGUUGCUCAUGUCUCUAAAGAUAUCUUCUUACAAUCUUAUUUGCUCAGUGGUGACAUGUGUUGAGACAAGCCAAUGAGACUAGAGAAAAACAACCCAGGCUUUAUGCAACAGAGCAAUAACACCUGUAAGGAGUCACAGGAGUGAUCCCAGUUUUCUCCUCGAGAGAAUCCAUCAAUCUAUUCAGGACAGAAGAGAACACAGCUUUUGCCUUUUAACAUUAGCUGAUGGGUCAACAAAGUAGCUUAAUGACAAGCAUUAGCACACCAUUAUUUAUUGAGUAGAUUUGUUAAACUUAACAUUUAAGCCUGAAUCUAGUUAAGGAAAUUACAUGAAAAAGCAUGUUCAUUUUGUCAUUUAUUUAUUAUUAUUAUAUAUAUAUAUAUUUAUAUAUAUAUUUAUAUACAGUACCAGUCAAACGUUUGGACACACCUACUCAUUCCAG